UGACCACUCUGCGAUAUGCCAACCGUGCCAA
rnacentral:piRNA from 1 species